rnacentral:rRNA from 1 species
GUCUAUGGCCAUGCCACCCUGAACAAGCUCAAUCCCAUCUGAACUCGGAAGCUAAGCACAGUCGGUCCUGGUUAGUACUUGGAUGGGAGACCACCUAGGAAGACCAGGUGCUGUAGGCA